rnacentral:rRNA from 1 species
GACGAACGCUGGCGGCGUGCCUAAUACAUGCAAGUUGAGCGAUGAAGAUUGGUGCUUGCCCCAAUUUGAAGAGCAGCGAACGGGUGAGUAACGCGUGGGGAAUCUGCCUUUGAGCGGGGGACAACAUUUGGAAACGAAUGCUAAUACCGCAUAACAACUUUAAACAUAAGUUUUAAGUUUGAAAGAUGCAAUUGCAUCACUCAAAGAUGAUCCCGCGUUGUAUUAGCUAGUUGGUGAGGUAAAGGCUCACCAAGGCGAUGAUACAUAGCCGACCUGAGAGGGUGAUCGGCCACAUUGGGACUGAGACACGGCCCAAACUCCUACGGGAGGCGGCAGUAGGGAAUCUUCGGCAAUGGACGAAAGUCUGACCGAGCAACGCCGCGUGAGUGAAGAAGGUUUUCGGAUCGUAAAACUCUGUUGGUAGAGAAGAACGUUGGUGAGAGUGGAAAGCUCAUCAAGUGACGGUAACUACCCAGAAAGGGACGGCUAACUACGUG